GAUGAACGCUAGCUACAGGCUUAACACAUGCAAGUCGAGGGGAAACGACAUCGAAAGCUUGCUUUUGAUGGGCGUCGACCGGCGCACGGGUGAGUAACGCGUAUCCAACCUGCCCAUCACUUGGGAAUAACCUUGCGAAAGUAAGACUAAUACCCAAUGACAUCCCACGAAGACAUCUGAAUGGGAUUAAAGAUUUAUCGGUGAUGGAUGGGGAUGCGUCUGAUUAGCUUGUUGGCGGGGUAACGGCCCACCAAGGCAACGAUCAGUAGGGGUUCUGAGAGGAAGGUCCCCCACAUUGGAACUGAGACACGGUCCAAACUCCUACGGGAGGCAGCAGUGAGGAAUAUUGGUCAAUGGGCGAGAGCCUGAACCAGCCAAGUAGCGUGCAGGAUGACGGCCCUAUGGGUUGUAAACUGCUUUUAUAAGGGAAUAAAGUGGGUCUCGUGAGACUUUUUGCAUGUACCUUAUGAAUAAGGACAGGCUAAUUCCGUG
rnacentral:rRNA from 1 species